AACACACAGAACAUAAAUACAGGAGAAAUCAACAUGCAACACAGACUGACAACUCACAGCCCCUCCUAAACAAGAGGAAUUUCAACAUUGAGCACAGCUCCAUGAGGAUGUCAUCUGAUGUUUAGGACAGUGAUAAGAACAACAUUUUUCAGCACCUGUCCUAUUCCACAUGCACCAGAUGCUCGGGGCCUACAGGUGCUGGGGACAGCCGGACCUUUGGUACCCAUUGCCCCCUCACUCUCAGCCUCCUUGCCACCUGCCGACUCAAAGACAACAUAUCAGCCCCUGUGCUGUUACCUCUUAUUUACACAUU